UGAACUCUCAAAGUUCUUUUCCUUUAAUUAGGUUGGGAUACUUUGGAUCAUGGGUGUUUGUGAGCUUUGGCUUGCUCACUUGAAAUGUAAUGUGGCAUUCUUCUCUGAAGCUGCUGCUGGGUUUGACCUGGAGUGAUAGAAGUCUUUUGAGAUCUCUAGGGAACUGUCUUCUGACAGUGCCUGCUGUGGUGGGAGGGAGUGUUUAACAGACUUAUUUGACGU
rnacentral:misc_RNA from 1 species